rnacentral:lncRNA from 1 species
UUUGAUGCAAGUUGUAACACGAGCAAUGGUAGAGAUGCAGGGGUGUAACAUGGGCAUUGGCCUGGAUGCAAGGAUGUGACACAUACAUUAGUUAGCAUUGACACAAGGUGUGUGUUGUGGGUAUACUCCUUAUGGUGGAGUAUGAUAGUUCUUUUGAACUAGGAUUGUCGAAGUAGACAAUGGUGGUAGCGGUUGAGGCUUUCUAAGGAAGCUCAAAGGUUCAGUUUGACUGAGUAUUAAAGAAGACGAUUGUUGGUGAACUUUUUUGUAUAGAGGUUCCAAUAUAUCGAAAGACUUCCUAGCAAUAGGUGGCUAGGCGGCGUGUUCCAUUUGAUGGCGGUACGGGAAGCUGCACUAUAAGUUUGGAGAGCUAGGCUCUUGAUAGCAUCGUCAAUGAUACUCAGAAGGUCUAUGUUGUAGGGGAGC